rnacentral:ncRNA from 1 species
CACAGAGAGAAGCGAGACCGAAAGGAGAAGCAGAUCCCAAAAAGCCAUCCCCAGUUCGGAUUGCAGUCUGCAACUCGACUGCAUGAAGUUGGAAUCGCUAGUAAUCGCGGAUCAGCCAAGCCGCGGUGAAUACGUUCCCGGGCCUUGUACACACCGCCCGUCACACCAUCCGAGUCGGGUGCUCUCAAAGCCGGAGGCCUAACCGCGAGGAAGGAUCCGCCUAAAGAGUGUCCGGUGAGGAGGGUGAAGUCGUAACAAGGUAGCCGUACGGGAACGUGCGGCUGGAUCACCUCCUUU